GUCCAGAGUAGCCAAGUGGACUUGGCAUCUGGCCGGUAAGCGGAACACUGUGGGUUCGAUUCCCAUCCCUGAACA